UACAGAGGUCUCAAGCGUUGUUCGGAUUCAUUGGGCGUAAAGGGUGCGUAGGCGGCGCGGUAAGUCGGGUGUGAAAUCUCGGAGCUUAACUCCGAAACUGCAUUCGAUACUGCCGUGCUUGAGGACUGGAGAGGAGACUGGAAUUUACGGUGUAGCGGUGAAAUGCGUAGAUAUCGUAAGGAAGACCAGUGGCGAAGGCGGGUCUCUGGGCCGUGAACUGACGCUGAGGAGCGAAAGCAUGGGGAGCGAACAGG
rnacentral:rRNA from 1 species